rnacentral:rRNA from 1 species
GACGAACCGUGCGAACGUUAUUCGGAAUCACUGGGCUUAAAGCGCGUGUAGGCGGGACGGCACGUCGGUCGCUGAAAUCCCCGGGCUUAACCUGGGAACUGCAGUCGAGACUGUCUAGCUAGAGUAUGGGAGAGGGAAGUGGAAUUUCAGGUGUAGCGGUGAAAUGCGUAGAUAUCUGAAGGAACAUCAGUGGCGAAAGCGACUUCCUGGACCAAUACUGACGCUCAUGUGCGAAAGCGUGGGGAGCAAACAGG